ensembl:snRNA U6 U6 spliceosomal RNA
GUGUUUGCUUCAGCAGCACCUACACUAAAAUURGAACUAUACAGAGAAGAUUAGCAUGGCCCCUGCUCAAUGAUGACAUGCAAAUUCAUGAAGCAUCCUAUAUUUUU